GUAAUAUCGCGAUCCUUCUCUGGUGUUCCUUGUUUUAGCUGACGACACUCGAGAGCGCCAAUUUUCCUAGAUUCGAUUUUGUGGUUUGGAACUGUGGUUUUGGAAUCCAGAGUAGUCGCCUCGUUCUAUUGAGAUGGGGUUUCGCCACGUUGGCCAGGCUGGUCUCAAAAUCCUGACCUCAGGUAUCCAAUUGCUCCAGCACCAACUGGUGAAAAGACCAUCAUUCUUCUACUCAGUUGCAUUUGAAGCUUUGUCAAAAACCAGUUGAGUAUAUUGGUGUGGAUGUGUUUCUAUUCUGUGGAUCUCUCUUCCGUUCCAUUGAUCUAUGUGUCUGUUCCUUUGCCAGUACUACACUGGGUUGACUACCAUAGCAAUGAAAUAAACCUUAAAAUCAAACAGAGU
ensembl:lncRNA KBTBD6-DT KBTBD6 divergent transcript